GCAGUGGUGGCUCAGUGGUUAAGGCUCCAGGUUACUACCUAGAAGGUCAGGGGUUCAAGCUUCCACUACUGGG